AAAACCCCCGCUUAGUUGAUGUGUUGUCUGAACAAGACAUCAACACCUGUCUUUAAACAUAAAAUUAAAAGGAAAAAGACAUAAAACUAAUAAAACUACCUAAAUUAAAUCAUUUGUACAAAAUACAUUCUCUCUCCCCGUUCUUCCCCCUUUCUCAGCGAGCGAACCCUAGGUUCCAAUUCGGCCGAUUUCAUCCUUAAAUUUGUGCGCUAAAGAUCUCAGAGUUCAGUUCGAGUGUGGAGUUUGUGGGUUUAGUGGGUGCUCGUACUUCAGUUCGAGUUUGGAGUCUGUGGGGUUUGGAGUUCGAGCUCGGAGUCUGUUCAAGCUCUGUUCAAGUCUAUUCAAGCUCUGUUCGAGUUGGAGGAGGUAGUACUUUGGGGACAACAUGGACAAGUCAUGGAUUGCGAAAGAUAGGGAUUCACUAGAAUAUGAAAUGGGGGUCGAGCAGUUUUUGAUAUUUGCUGAGGAGAACUCUUGUGACCCCAAAAAAAUCCCCUGUCCUUGUUCACGUUGUGUCAACUUCAAGAAAU